AAUUUGCAGAGGAUGCUUUUGGCGCGGUGCCUUCCGAGUUCCCUGGAACGGGACGCCAUAGAGGGGGAGAGCCCCGUCUGGUCGGACACCAAGCCAGUGUAAAGCUCCUUCGACGAGUCGAGUAGUUUGGGAAUGCUGCUCUAAAUGGGAGGUAUAUGUCUUCUAAAGCUAAAUACCGGCCAGAGACCGAUAGCGCACAAGUAGAGUGAUCGAAAGAUGAAAAGCACUUUGAAAAGAGGGUUAAACAGUACGUGAAAUUGUUGAAAGGGAAGCGCUUGUGACCAGACUUGGGCCCGGUGAAUCAUCCAGCGUUCUCGCUGGUGCACUUCGCCGGGCUCAGGCCAGCAUCAGUUCGCCGCGGGGGAUAAAAGCUUCNGGAACGUGGCCCCCUCGGGGGUGUUAUAGCCCGUUGCACAAUACCCUGCGGUGGACUGAGGUUCGCGCUCCGCAAGGAUGCUGGCGUAAUGGUCAUCAGCGACCCGUCUUGAAACACGGACCAAGGAGUCGUCUUCGUAUGCGAGUGUUCGGGUGUCAAACCCCUACGCGUAAUGAAAGUGAACGCAGGUGAGAGCUUCGGCGCAUCAUCGACCGAUCCUGAUGUUCUCGGAUGGAUUUGAGUAAGAGCAUACGGGGCCGGACCCGAAAGAA
rnacentral:rRNA from 1 species